rnacentral:rRNA from 1 species
UACGGAGGGGGCUAGCGUUGUUCGGAAUUACUGGGCGUAAAGCGCACGUAGGCGGCUUUGUAAGUUAGAGGUGAAAGCCCGGGGCUCAACUCCGGAAUUGCCUUUAAGACUGCAUCGCUAGAAUUGUGGAGAGGUAAGUGGAAUUCCGAGUGUAGAGGUGAAAUCCGUAGAUAUUCGGAAGAACACCAGUGGCGAAGGCGACUUACUGGACACAUAUUGACGCUGAGGCACGAAAGCGUGGGUAUCAAACAGG